AUAUUGGUGAUGUGGGCACUCCUGAAGAAGAUCCUUGAAGCAUUCCUAAGCAUGAUAGAGGUUUUUAUCAGGCUUCUAUUUGAAACCCACUAUAUCACUAUGAAGUCU
rnacentral:snoRNA from 1 species